UGUGCAAUGGUGAGCUGCAGGGUAUUGUGUCCUGGGGUUAUGGCUGUGCUGAGAAGGAUCAUCCUGGUGUCUAUGGCAAGGUCUGCAUGUUCAGCCAAUGGAUCGCCGACACCAUGAGUAACAACUAAAGCUGAUACAAAAUCACAUACAGCCUCCAAAUCUGCAAUCCAUCAGUUUUUCUUUGUUUUGGAGAUUAAAAACCUGUGAAAAUAAAAGCAUUUAAAA